rnacentral:rRNA from 1 species
GACGAACGCUGGCGGCGUGCUUAACACAUGCAAGUCGAACGCUGAAGCUUGGUGCUUGCACUGGGUGGAUGAGUGGCGAACGGGUGAGUAAUACGUGAGUAACCUGCCCUUGACUCUGGGAUAAGCCUGGGAAACUGGGUCUAAUACUGGAUCCGACAUGCCACUGCAUGGUUGUGUGUGGAAAGGGUUUUACUGGUUUUGGAUGGGCUCACGGCCUAUCAGCUUGUUGGUGGGGUAAUGGCCUACCAAGGCGACGACGGGUAGCCGGCCUGAGAGGGUGGCCGGCCACACUGGGACUGAGACACGGCCCAGACUCCUACGGGAGGCAGCAGUGGGGAAUAUUGCACAAUGGGCGGAAGCCUGAUGCAGCGACGCCGCGUGAGGGAUGACGGCCUUCGGGUUGUAAACCUCUUUCAGCACGGAAGAAGCGAGAGUGACGGUACGUGCAGAAGAAGCGCCGGCUAACUACGUG